UUUGUAGUACAGUAGCUAAUGACAUUAUGCUGGACACUGGUGUGGGAGUAGUGAGGAUGUGGGCUGAUGAGACAAGCCGUCUCAGCCGUUUCCGGAUGCUGUUCACAUCUUUUGCUGACCCACCCUGUAUGGGCGGUGCGUUCUUUUGCCACACUAACAUGUGCAUCAACACUUCUCUGGUGUGCAACGGCAUACAAAACUGUGUCUUUCCUUGGGACGAAAGCAACUGCAAAG